GCCUGAGUAGCUCAGUUGGUAGAGCAUGCGACUGAAAAUCGCAGUGUCGGUGGUUCGAUCCCGCCCUCAGGCACCA
rnacentral:tRNA from 1 species